UAGAGAGCCAAUUCUUAAUCACUGAGAGGAGAGGCUAGCUGAAGACCUAACAUCCUAAGGAAGGCUCUCCAGAUGAGGUCUGGAGUCUGAUGGAGCCCCUAAGAGGAUACUGUCCCUAAAAACUGGUAGCAGAGAGAGAAGAGUGGAAGAAGGAAAAUAAGACGAAAAUACAUUCUUUGAAGUUA